rnacentral:misc_RNA from 1 species
AUCUGCGUCUCGCUCGUCGCGUGAGUGCGUGUGUGCGUGUGUGCAGUGUGUGACCGCUGAGAUCCGCGCUGCGUACGCUUGCUUCGAUCGAGAGGCGGUGGAGUGAUCCGGGCGAUCUUCGCCGAUUUCCGAUAAGUCGCGUCGACAACCCGUCGGCAGGAUGGGCCGCAAGAAGAAGAAGCAGUCGAGACCCUGGUGCUGGUAUUGCAACCGCGAGUUCGAGGAUGAAAAGAUCCUGAUUCAACAUCAGAAGGCGAAGCACUUCAAGUGUCACAUUUGCCACAAGAAACUAUAUACGGGACCAGGACUCAGCAUACAUUGUAUGCAGGUACACAAGGAGGCGAUAGACAAGGUACCCAAUUCGUUGCCGAAUCGCAGCAACAUCGAGAUAGAGAUUUACGGUAUGGAAGGCAUACCGCCUAACGAUGCAAAGGAGCAUGAAAGGCAGCGGAACGGCGGUAGGCCCGGCUCACCAUCAUCUGGCGAGGACGAACCGGUGCAGAAAAAAGCAAAGCCUGAAGGGCUGCUGGGGACCGCACCAGGCGCGAUGUCCGGUCUGGCAGCUGGCCUUCCCGGCGGUAUGCCACCGCAGCACGGUAUGCCACCGCUGCCCGGUAUGCCACCGCAUCACGGAAUGGCGCCACAUCCUGGCAUGCCGCCGCAUCCUGGCAUGCCUCCCAUGCACCCGAUGAUGCAGAUGGGCCACGUGGGUCCCCCAUUUAUGGGCCCAGGCAUGAUGCCAGGUAUGCCAGGCAUGCCUUCCGGUAUGCAACCACCAGUUUCGGGAGCGUCAAUUCCACCGGCACGUCCGUUGUUCCCGAGCGCCGCUGCCGUAGCAGUUUCCACGGCGGCGGCGGUGGCGGCGGCCUCGACCGUGCCAUCGGUCACUGGGUCCGCGCCCCUAGGUACUGACUUCAAACCGAUCACAUCGAUGGCCGGCAGCGGCGGUUCCAUUGGACCGGUCAAGCCGACAUUCCCCGCUUACAGCAGCGCCGGUGAAGUCACCGCAGCUGGUAACAAUCUUGCCGGCGAGCAAAAGGUGAAUCUUAUCGCGACUACUGGCGCCGCCAGUAAGAUCAUACAUCCGCCGGAAGAUCUCAGUCUUGAAGAGAUUAGAGCCAGACUACCGAAAUAUCAGCGUCGACAGACUGACGAGUCUGGACGGUCGACGGCACAGUCGGAAGCUGCGGCUGCUGCCGCUGCUGCUGUUGCGGCGAGCCAGCAACAGCAGGCUGCCGCGCUGCAGCAAGCAGCGGCUCAACAGCAGCAGCAAGCGGUACAGCAGCAGCAACAACAACAGCAGCAGCAGGCGCAGCAGCAGCAGCAGGCAGCCGCCGCGAACGUGGCGGCGGCUGCGUUUCAGGCGGAUCAACAGCAACGACAGCAGCAGGCGGCCGCGUUGAACGCGCUGCAGCAACAACAGCAGAGGUUCCCGCGGCCUCCUCAGGCGGUCAUGGUGCCGGCCUCGGCCGCGGCGAUGCCGGUCAGUUCGGUGGCACUUAUGGCACCCCUAAUGCGACCCACCAUGACCUUAGCCGCGCCUGCUCUCAUUCAUGGAGGUAACAUGAUGCGACCGCCCCCCAUGGGCCUGCCACCAGGGCGCCCAGUCACUCCUCGGUGAGUGUCGAACGAACCCAGUCUGGUUACUAAAACCGUGUUUUACAAUACAAGCGCUACAAGGCAUGAUAGGGGCUCUACCACCAGGUACGAUGCAUCCGGCCUUCGCCGCCGCGCCCAUGGGCUUUCCUGGGGCACCGAUGCUAGCACCGAUGAUGCACCCGCGCUUCAGAUGAUCGCCCCCCAUGGAC